rnacentral:rRNA from 1 species
GUCUACGGCCAUACCACCCUGAACGUGCCCAAUCUCGUCUGAUCUCGGAAGCUAUGCAGGGUCGGGCCUGGUUAGUACUUGGAUGGGAGAAAGGUGACACAGAGACUGGGCUGCUGCCUGCU